CAACCCUUAAGCCUAGCUUAGUGUUGGGAAUCUACCCUGUAGCUACCCUGUAGCUACCCUGUAGUUCCUCAAAUUUACCGGCGGAGACGUGGUAUCCUCUGAGCGUAGUAGCUUCUAUUCUCGCUUUUGUAGGUGCCUCGGCCCUUGCCGUAAAACCCCCCAAUUUUUAAU
rnacentral:misc_RNA from 1 species